GGCAAUCUAAAAUCUUGCAGGAAUAUAGGAAUAUUUCAUGGGGGGAAGCAGCAGAUUUGCUAAUAAUGGGGAAGGCCGUUGAUUUAAUUUUUAAUUUUUAAAGAAAUUUGGUACAUUUUUACCCAACUCCUCUUCUGUUUCAUCAUUUUCCAGCCCUUUCCAGUUUGAUUUUGUUCCGCAUUUUCAUUCUCCCUGCCAAGAGACAAAAUCAUCAGCCAUGGGUUCUCUUCUCAUGGACCCUGAAGAUAUUGUCACCUUGGCAGGAAUUGGGUUAGCCAGAAAUAUUACCACAAUCUGCUUAAACAUGGAUAGGGUUAAUUCACCAGGUAUAUUUCACGCUGCAGAUCCUCUGUCUUUCCCUUUCCCUCUUCUUCUAAUACAAUUGGCUCUAGCCUGUGGAACCUUUCUUCUCCUUUCAGCACUUCUCAGGCCUCUUGGCCUACCCAUUGUCGUCAGGCAACUCUUAGGUGGCAUAAUAUUAGGUCCAACACUUCUAUGCAGGAGCCCUCAGUUAGCAAAUAUUUUUUUUCCUUUGAGAGGAAUAAUACUGAUGGAUGUAGUAUCUUCCUUUGGGUUCAUUCUUUACUUCUUCCUCCUUGGAGUUCAAACGGAUCCAUGGUUGUUUAAAAACGUUGACAGAAAAGCUAUUAGACUUGGAAUUUUUGCUGUGGCCGUGCCUAUGGUAAUAAGCACUGUCUCAUGUUUUUUCAUCAUGUCCCAUGUCAAUGUAGACAAAAACAUAGCUGGGUCACUUCCCAUAAUUGCUCAAGCUGAGUCUGUGCUUUCCUUCCCAAUUAUUGCUCAAUUCUUGGAAGAGCUCAAGAUUAUAAAUUCAGAAUUUGGCAGAGUAGCAUUAUCUUCUUCAUUUGUAGCUGGGCUGUGCAGUCUCAGUGUGAUAACAACUACAAUGCUAUUGCAACAAUCACCUGAUGACAAUUAUGAAGCAUUUCAGACCCUAACUAAUGCUGUUGUCCUUCUACUUGUUAUUAUUUUUGUGAUGCGACCAAUAAUUAUGUGGAUGAUCAAGCGGAAUCCAGAGGGAGAGCCACUCAAAGAAAGCUAUGUCAUUUGGAUUCUUUUAGCAGUCUUUCUCACCGGCUUCCUUAGCCAAGCACUUGGUUUGCAUACUUAUUUUGGACCUCUUGCUUUUGGGAUUACUCUACCUGCAGGGCCUCCUAUUGGUUCAGCCCUAGUUGAUAAGCUUGAUCUCCUCGCCAAUUGGAUAUUUAUGCCCCUCUACCUUGUGAAAAAUGGGUUGGUUAUCAAUGUCUUCAGUGUGAAAUUAAAGAACUAUCUGAUAGUGCAAUCCAUUGCCCUCAUCAGUUCAUUUGGCAAGUUUCUGGGAACUUUUUUAGCAUCCAGCUACAGCAACAUACCUCUCAGGGAUGCUGCUUCACUAGGCCUUGUCAUGAAUGCCCAAGGUGUGCUUGAGCUUGGCAUGUUUAAGAUGAUGAAAAAAAACAAGGCAAUAGACAAUGAGGCUUUUGUGAUCAUGUCUGUAUCCAUGAUGCUUGUAACAGGAGCUAUCACACCAAUCAUUAAAUACUUGUAUGAUCCUUCAAGAAGGUAUGCUGUUUACAGAAGAAGAACUGUGAUGAACUUAAAACCCAAUUUCGAACUCCGGGUGCUCAUAUGUAUUCAUGAAGACGAAAAUGUUCCCGCUGCCAUCAAACUCCUUGAGGUCUUAAAUCCCACAAAAUGUAGCCCUUUGUGUGUUUAUCUCCUCCACCUCAUUGAGAUUGUUGGCCGUGCAAACCCCCUCCUCAUCUCCCACAACUUGAGCAAGAGGCCCUCUAAGAAGGUCAAGAAGUCAGAACAAGUAAUCAAUGCCUUCAGACACUUCACGGAUAGCAACCAUGGUCUCAUUACACUUUACCCUUAUACUGCAAUUUGUCCGUCUAAAACAAUGCACGAUGAUGUGUGCACAAUUGCACUAGACAAAAGGACUUCCCUUAUUAUAGUUCCUUUCCACAAGAGAUUCCAAGGGAGUGAUGGGGCGAAUUCCCACAAAAGGGCCAUUAAGAUAACAAAUGAAAAUGUCAUUGACAAGGCACCUUGCUCUACUGCAAUCCUGGUUGAUCGUGGGCCUCAGAAUGUACAAAGGACUAGCCUUAAUGUUCAGUCUUCAUAUCGUGUUGCCGUCCUCUUCUUGGGCGGGCCUGACGAUAGGGAGGCACUGGCCAUAGGGGCACGGAUGACUGGACAUCACAGCAUCAACCUGACAAUGGUACGACUCCUUGAAAAUGGAAGCAUUGCUGGUGAUAAUGCCACUGAAAGGAGGCUUGAUAAUGAAGUGGUGAGUGAGUUUAGAAUGGCUACAGCAGGAAAUUAUAGAGUAAUAUACAUAGAGGAGGUGGUGAUGGAUGGGACAGGGACUACUUCAGUGAUUAGAUCAAUGGAAAACUGCUAUGAACUUGUCAUAGUUGGAAGGCAUCAUGAUAGCAGAUCACCACUUCUAUCGGGGCUUGCAGAUUGGAAUGAUCACAAAGAGUUAGGAACAGUUGGUGAUUUGUUGGCUUCAUCACCGUUCAUGGACAAAACUACAAUCUUGGUUGUGCAACAACACAACAAUGCCACAAACGAAGAUUGUUAGAGUGGUAGAACAGUAGUAGAUUUGGAAGCAGAAGAUCUGCCAAUUUAUAAGAGAGUGAUAUAGUGAUCCACAAAUGCCAAAUGACUUGUGAUCUUCUGGCUUCUGACAUGCAGAUGGCUAGUUGUUUUUGAAAAUUUUAUCCUUAGCUAUAUGAUUUUCUGCAAACAUGCUUCCAAGAAUCACCAUUGGAAUCUAUUUGUUGUUCACGGAUUGAUUGAAGCAAGCAUAAGAUAGAUUCUGGUUUCGAAGAAGAAGAAAGCAAGGCCAAAAGCUCAGUAUAUAUGACUUGCAACUUUGAAGGAGACAUGUCUUGAAUCCGUUUCAAAUGUUCAACAGCAAUGGGAACCUCUUCAGCAUCAGCUAAACAUUUGAGCAAAACAACAUGGGAAUCUGAAUGUCCUAUGUCAUAAGCAAUGCCACAGAGCAACUCAGAAGCUACAAGAAAUUGACCUACAUAGCCAUGCGUACAUCAGCAAACAAAGAACAUAGUAAAGGCUUUAAAAAUCUAACAACAGUGAUUAAAAAACAAUAUCACUUAAGCCAGCCAUAUAAACUCAUAGAAAUGCUAAUACAUGUGGUGGUAUAAGUAAUAAGCAUACCUUUUCUGCAGAGGUUUAGAAUGAAUAUGCUCAAUAUACUUUGUGCCAACACUAAAUCUUGAUUAAUUGAUUUAUUGAAGAUUUCAACAGCAGCAUCAAACUUGGUAUCUUGACAAAGUCCUUUGAGGAGGAAUGCAUAAGUUGCAGCAUCAGGUGCCAUCCCUUUCUCCAACAUGUGAUUAAAGAGCCUCAAUGCCUCUUCGACUUCAGCUAUUUCGGAGAAUUUUGCAAUCAGAAUAUUAUAAGUUUUUAAAUUCACACCACAUCCAAUUGCAAACAUCUCAUCCCAAAGCUUCUUAGCAGGACGCAAUAAAUCUUCUCUACAACACACUUCAAUUAAAGAAUUAUACAUUGCGAUAUCUGGGCCAAAUCCUUUCUUCUUCAUCUCCUGAAGAAUCCCAUAAGCCUCUCUUACCCUCCCAACCUUGCAAAAGAAUGAAAAUAUCAAAUUGUAACUCUCCAUGUCAGAGAAAUAAUUGUUUGAAGACAAGACAUGGUACACCUCCAGCAUUUCAUCAAUCUUUCCAUGCCUACAAAGAUUUCUGCUCAAGUUGCUCAAGGUUAAAAGUGUUGGUAACCUUCCUUUUCCAACAAGGAAAUGAAAAAACAACACCGCAGCAGAAGGGUUAAUACUGGAAACCGAUCCUAUCAAUGCAUUCAACACAUCAAUUUCGAUUGGGAAAUUACCGUGCACAAUGAUUUCACCUAAUUCUUUCGCUUCAUAUAUCAACCUCUCCAUAAUCAAACUCAAAAUGAACUCUCUAUAAUCGUUACUCCUCGGUGCCACUCCUAGCUUCCUCUUCAUCUUCAAAACCUUAAUCACAUCAGCCACACUCCCCAGUGAUCUAAAAGCUUCGGCCACGAUCCUAUAUGCCAUAAAAUCUGGUUUACAGUCUCUAAUUCUCAGUUCAUUAAAUACCCACAAAGCCUCACUCACCCUGGAAGCCCGACAAAGACCAUGAACAAUCAAAACUGCAAUAACCGACCCGUUAAUCAUUGAAUUACCCUCUUUUACUUGAUUUAACAUAGUCAAAACUUUUCCCAAAUCAGCAUCUCUACAAAACCUCCAUAUAAACACGCCAAAACCCACAGUGCUAAAAGGAACACCUCGCAUGGUCAUUUCAUCAUAAACCUUUAGUGCAUUUUCAAAAGACCCUACAGAACCCAAUACGGCCAAAAGCGAGUUACAUGUCUCAGGCCCAAUAUCCAAAAUUUGUGAUUUAACCUCGCUAAAAAACAAAAAUGCGCUCUGGGUCUUCUUCCCUUGAAUUAAAGAAUUAAUAACAAAGCGAUGAGUUGAAGAAUCGAGGACGAAUUUGUGGGCUUUGACUUGCUUUAAGAUAGACUCUAUAGAAUUGAAUUGACGAGAAAGAGAGAGAGAUUUGAGGAUUGAUUGAUAAGUAAGUGAAGUGUGAGUAAACCCGGGUUGCUGAGAGGCCCAGUUGAAGAAACCGAGUGCGAGAGAGUGAUGAGUCAAGAGGCAAGGAUCGAUGACUUGGGCGACGAGUGAGGGAUUCAGUGAGUCCCGGCAUCCGAGUCUGUGUACAAUACGCUCGAGCGAUGGUGUCCAUGAAAGAGCUGGGUUUGCUUUCUUUGACGCAGAAAUCAGAGCUUCGCUUAUGCGAGUCGCAAUCUCGCUUGCUGGUCUCAUCUCAUGACUGAGGAACAAAACGCUCACAUAGCCGGACGCGCCAUUCUUAAACAAGGUGAAAAUACUCGCAACUCCACAAUAUAUAGA
rnacentral:misc_RNA from 1 species